GAAAACAUCACCCUCCAUCCACACUGCAGAAGUCUCCAAACCACAGAUUACCAGACACUGGGAAUGCUUGGGGGCAACAUGYUUACUUUGUUCCACUGCUCUUUGCAGGGCAUCCUCUACUGGCUGUUGCUGGAAACCAGAUACCAAACUAGAUGAUUUUUAAAUUCACAGUAUGACAGUUUUUCAUACAUAUAUUAUAGAGAAGAGAAGAUUCAGAGGCCAUGGAAGCAAAGUUCAUAAAUACUUGUACCAGGAGGUUUUAUGGUCAUGUAGGCACACUAGCAGAACAUACUUCUAAGAACUUUCUUGAACAGAUUUGUGAAGUCAGGAUACUGCAAAUAUCAUGUGUCAGAAUUUCAAAGACAACACCCCUCCAAAGGGAACACAAGAAGCUUUCUCUUGACAUCAAGAACAAAGUUUUCGUUUUAGCCAGUGAAGACAUACAUUCUGCUGCACAACUACGGAGCGAGGAAACUGUAUUUUGUAUCACUGGAUAAGCUUCAAAAGAAGCUGCCAAUGAAGGAUUGAGGACAUUUUUUUUGACUCUUCCAGGAAUUUCCUACAGAGAAGCAAAAGCUUUACAUUGAAUAGCUGCAGGUAGAUUCAACUUAACUGUGUUAAAAUCAACAGAACCAAAUACAAUUUUUUAGAGAGAAAUGCGUUGUGUUGUAGUAUUCUUCUGGAUGUGAGUGAAACUUUAUGAUUACAUUAACCUAAUGCCUUUUUCAUCUUUCCAAAUAGAGGGAAAACAGAUCUUCCUAGAAGUUGGAAAUUUAGGAUGUAAAGGAUGUAAAGGAGUUCCCAGAAGGGAAAGAGACAAGAUUGCAGUACUUGAUCACAACAUUUUUAAAGAACAAUUCUUCAGGAAGGCUGAUGUUAAAAGAAAACUGUUCUGCACUCCUACAACCACAUAUUUAUUUAUCACAGAAACUGGUUUCAAAAGGACUUGUAUGACAGAACCUAAAAGGAUACAUCUCUCCUAAAAUAAAUACCAUGGCCUCUUUCCCA
rnacentral:lncRNA from 1 species